GACGAACGCUGGCGGCGUGCUUAACACAUGCAAGUCGAACGGAAAGGCCCUGCUUUUGUGGGGUGCUCGAGUGGCGAACGGGUGAGUAACACGUGAGUAACCUGCCCUUAACUUUGGGAUAACUUCAGGAAACUGGGGCUAAUACCGGAUAGGAGCUCCUGCUGCAUGGUGGGGGUUGGAAAGUUUCGGCGGUUGGGGAUGGACUCGCGGCUUAUCAGCUUGUUGGUGGGGUAGUGGCUUACCAAGGCUUUGACGGGUAGCCGGCCUGAGAGGGUGACCGGCCACAUCGGGACUGAGAUACGGCCCAGACUCCUACGGGAGGCAGCAGUGGGGAAUAUUGCACAAUGGGCGGAAGCCUGAUGCAGCAACGCCGCGUGCGGGAUGACGGCCUUCGGGUUGUAAACCGCUUUCGCCUGUGACGAAGCGUGAGUGACGGUAAUGGGUAAAGAAGCACCGGCUAACUACGUG
rnacentral:rRNA from 1 species